UUUUAUGGAGAGUUUGAUCCUGGCUCAGGAUGAACGCUGGCGGCGUGCCUAAUACAUGCAAGUCGAGCGAACAGACGAGGAGCUUGCUCCUCUGACGUUAGCGGCGGACGGGUGAGUAACACGUGGAUAACCUACCUAUAAGACUGGGAUAACUUCGGGAAACCGGAGCUAAUACCGGAUAAUAUAUUGAACCGCAUGGUUCAAUAGUGAAAGACGGUUUUGCUGUCACUUAUAGAUGGAUCCGCGCCGCAUUAGCUAGUUGGUAA
rnacentral:rRNA from 1 species